rnacentral:rRNA from 1 species
GAUGAACGCUGACAGAAUGCUUAACACAUGCAAGUCUUUGGCGAAGCUGUGCUUGCACAGCCUAGCCAGGCGGACGGGUGAGUAACGCGUAAGGGACUUGCCCUGCAGUCAGGGAUAACAGACGGAAACGACUGAUAAAACCUGGUAAAGUCAGGCGGACUCAUGUCCAGCCUGAUGAAAAGGAAUGCUGCAGGAGAGCCUUGCGUCCUAUUAGCUUGUUGGUGGGGUAACGGCCCACCAAGGCGAUGAUAGGUAGCCGGCCUGAGAGGGUGGACGGCCACAAGGGGACUGAGAUACGGCCCUUACUCCUACGGGAGGCAGCAGUGGGGAAUAUUGGACAAUGGGGGCAACCCUGAUCCAGCAAUUCUGUGUGCACGAUGAAGGUCUUCGGAUUGUAAAGUGCUUUCAGCAGGGAAGAAAAAAAUGACGGUACCUGCAGAAGAAGCGACGGCUAAAUACGUGCCAGCAGCCGCGGUAAUACGUAUGUCGCGAGCGUUAUCCGGAAUUAUUGGGCAUAAAGGGCAUCUAGGCGGCCGGAUAAGUCUGGGGUGAAAACUUGCGGCUCAACCGCAAGCCUGCCCUGGAAACUAUGCGGCUAGAGUGCUGGAGAGGUGGACGGAACUGCACGAGUAGAGGUGAAAUUCGUAGAUAUGUGCAGGAAUGCCGAUGAUGAAUAUAGUUCACUGGACGGCAACUGACGCUGAAGUGCGAAAUCUAGGGGAGCAAACAGG